CGCCUCGUAGCUCAGCGGUAGAGCAUCCGCCUGAUAAGCGGAAGGUGGGAGUUCAACUCUCCCCGAGGCGA
rnacentral:tRNA from 2 species